GGCCGCCUGUGGGGUGGAAAAUGGCAGCUGCCCACCAGCACAGCGCGGCAGUUCUCCUGGCCGGAGAAGCCAGGUGAAAGGGAGGAAGGCCAUACCACCCUCAAAGGUCACUGGCUGUAGGUGAACUUCAAGCAUUCUCCUGAAGCCCACCAAGGUCUGCAUCUUCUGGAGCUCAAGGGAAGGAAGAAGCUCAGGCAUCUGCUUCCUCAGUUCAGUAACCAACAGAUGACCCUCAACUGGGUUUUGCCAUACCAAGCAUCUAUAUAACUUUUUUUUUUUAAACUGGCCUUUUUACCAGCUAAUAUAAGACAGCAACAGUCUUACAUACCCAGUAAAAUGUACUACACAAUAUUAUUAAAGUCCCAUAUGUUUGUUCAGAAUCACUCAGCUGUAUGUAAAGUCACUGGUGCAAAGCUAGAGAGGACAGUGGCUCCCACCCUAUGUGUGCAGAAUGACAGAGGAGACUUUUGGCAAAUGAAGAAAUGUGCAGAGAACUUAAUUCUAAAAGCUUUUUGUGCAAAAACCCUCCAAGAAAUGUUAGAAACCACUACAACUGCAUUUCUUCCAGUGUGGUACCUGCCGGCAAACUCCCAUCAUAGGUGUAUUUCCUGGCCAUCUGCGAUGAUCCGUUUGCCCACUGCAGCUUCCCAGGCACUUGCACAGCAGCCCUUACCGUAAGUCUAAAGCGAUGCUGCCCUCUCCUGUUCACACUUGACCCGAAUGAUCUGCUUCCAGGC
rnacentral:lncRNA from 1 species